GGGACACCACUCCAUAGGAAAAGUACUGGAGAUCCACCUCCUGAUGGUCCACGAGGGGCCUGGCCUUGUCCUCCUGGUCACCACCAUACCCUAGCACAGCACACAGUCUACCCUGGGCCCUCAAUCGACAUCCUGUGAAAGAAGGAAGGGAGGCAGGGAGUGGCAGGAGCACAUGUGACCAAGGCUACAACUGUCUGUGUCCGUGCUGUCCCCUGCCUAGACUGGGCAGGGCACUGCUGAAGCCAGCAAAUUCCCUCCACGUGGUGAACACCCAUAGGCUGCUGAAGGCAGUGCCACCUCCGACAGGGACACACACCUGUACUUACGUCCAUCGUCAGCAGCAACGCAGCUUCUGUGCAGUGUGGCCAUACUUCCUUCCCUGUCAUUGGCCUCUUUCUGGGUGACACAUGAGUGACUUACAGACAAAAGCAGAAACACACUUACCCUCCUAGCUCUCCCACAGAACUUCCUUCUCGGCAAAUUCAAAAAAAAAAAUUCCCUGCCCACAUCCCAUCCACCC
rnacentral:lncRNA from 1 species